UUCAACGGAGAGUUUGAUCCUGGCUCAGGAUGAACGCUGGCGGCGUGCUUAACACAUGCAAGUCGAACGAUGAUGCCAGCUUGCUGGUGGAUUAGUGG
rnacentral:rRNA from 1 species